rnacentral:rRNA from 1 species
AUUGAACGCUGGCGGCGUGCUUAACACAUGCAAGUCGAACGCGAAAGGGACUUCGGUCCUGAGUAAAGUGGCGCACGGGUGAGUAACGCGUGGAUAAUCUGCCCUUAUGAUUGGAAUAACAGUUGGAAACGGCUGCUAAUACCGGAUACGCUCAAAAUGAACUUUUUGAGGAAAGAUGGCCUCUGCUUGCAUGCUAUCGCAUAAGGAUGAGUCCGCGUCCCAUUAGCUUGUUGGCGGGGUAACGGCCCACCAAGGCAACGAUGGGUAGCCGAUUUGAGAGGAUGAUCGGCCACACUGGAACUGAAACACGGUCCAGACUCCUACGGGAGGCAGCAGUGGGGAAUAUUGCGCAAUGGGCGAAAGCCUGACGCAGCGACGCCGCGUGAGGGAUGAAGGUUUUCGGAUCGUAAACCUCUGUCAGAAGGGAAGAAACUACGUUGUGCUAAUCAGCAGCGUACUGACGGUACCUUCAAAGGAAGCACCGGCUAACUCCGUGCCAGCAGCCGCCGUAA